ACAACAAAAAACAACAACCUUACCGAAGACCGAGUUGUUCAUGAGUUUGAAGAAGUUCUUCUCGAAAGCAGUCUUGGCUUGUUGUCGCAUUUUGGUGUUGAACUCAACGUAGGGUUUCAUGAAAGCCUCUUGUUGGAACUCUAAUACUUUAUGUAUUUUUUUCAAUUUUAGACCGAGUUGGAGAUACAGUUGCAGGUUGCGAUAGUGAAGUACAUAAUUCUGUUUGUUUUCUAAAGUGGUAGAAAUACAAUGGGGGUUUGAUGUGGAAAGAUGUCUGUACGAAGUUUAUAUAACGGGUUAGAAUGUGGACUUACAUCCACCAGAAGCUUGGGGAUGUCUCGCCAGAACUUAGACAGAAUGCUGGAGAACUACGAUACAACUUCACAUUAACAUCCACUUGGUUUAACAGAUCGAGAUAGUCCAUCGAAUUCUGACCACUGAUUUGAAACUCAAUGGGAGUAUCAUCCGACACUUGGGAUAUUGGACGAAUCUCUUGAUAAUGGACAUCAUUCACCGCAACUUGUGUAGGAGCUCACUUUUCGCCUGGUUUACUGUCUGUUCCGAUGGGGAAACUGUGCUGAUUGUCAUACCAUUACUUCCCAUCUUCGACUUGUGUGGAAUGGCAAAUCCCCUCCCAACUUGAGAUCAUCCGGGGAUAUCGCCAUAUUGAAAACCCGCCAGAGGUUCGGUCCACGUCCAUGGUGCUCGGGAUGAGUCAUUGGAGAACGAAGAUCGGGUGUCCUUAUGCUGCCAUGAAAUGUCGUUUUUAUGAUGUCCAAUUAUGUUCAAAAAUAAACAACUUGGAGAAUGUG